CAAAUAAUUUGAAACUAUAAAAGAUGAAGACAAAAUAUAAUAUUUAUUGGGUGAAAAGACAAAAUGUGCAGUUUUGGCAGCCGAAUAUGUGUCCUCCUGCUACAACCUGAGGGACAGCCAGUGAAAAGUGCAAAGUCAUGUCGAUAAUAUUUCCCAUCUUGUUUUGUUUUGUCUUUCAUACCAGGUCAUGUGUCUUCUCAGUCAUGUUGACACUGGUCUACUACCAGGUCAUGUGUCUUCUCAGUCAUGUUGACACUGGUCUACUACCAGGUCAUGUGUCUUCUCAGUCAUGUUGACACUGGUCCACUACCAGGUCAUGUGUCUUCUCAGUCAUGUUGACACUGGUCUACUACCAGGUCAUGUGUCUUCUCAGUCAUGUUGACACUGGUCUACUACCAGGUCAUGUGUCUUCUCAGUCAUGUUGACACUGGUCUACUACCAGGUCAUGUGUCUUCUCAGUCAUGUUGACACUGGUCUACUACCAGGUCAUGUGUCUUCUCAGUCAUGUUGACACUGGUCUACUACCAGGUCAUGUGUCUUCUCAGUCAUGUUGACACUGGUCCAGUACCAGGUCAUGUGUCUUCUCAGUCAUGUUGACACUGGUCCAGUACCAGGUCAUGUGUCUCCUCAGUCAGGUUGACACUGGUCUACUACCAGGUCAUGUGUCUUCUCAGUCAGGUUGACACUGGUCUACUACCAGGUCGUGUGUCUUCUCAGUCAGGUUGACACUGGUCUACUACCAGGUCGUGUGUCUUCUCAGUCAUGUUGACACUGGUCUACUACCAGGUCAUGUGUCUUCUCAGUCAUGUUGACACUGGUCUACUACCAGGUCAUGUGUCUUCUCAGUCAUGUUGACACUGGUCUACUACCAGGUCAUGUGUCUUCUCAGUCAUGUUGACACUGGUCCAGUACCAGGUCAUGUGUCUUCUCAGUCAUGUUGACACUGGUCCAGUACCAGGUCAUGUGUCUCCUCAGUCAGGUUGACACUGGUCUACUACCAGGUCAUGUGUCUCCUCAGUCAUGUUGACACUGGUCCAGUACCAGGUCAUGUGUCUCCUCAGUCAGGUUGACACUGGUCUACUACCAGGUCAUGUGUCUCCUCAGUCAUGUUGACACUGGUCUACUACCAGGUCAUGUGUCUUCUCAGUCAUGUUGACACUGGUCUACUACCAGGUCAUGUGUCUUCUCAGUCAUGUUGACACUGGUCUACUACCAGGUCAUGUGUCUUCUCAGUCAUGUUGACACUGGUCUACUACCAGGUCAUGUGUCUUCUCAGUCAUGUUGACACUGGUC